rnacentral:rRNA from 1 species
GACGAACGCGGCGGCGUGCCUAAUACAUGCAAGUCGAACGAGAGCGACCGGUGCUUGCACUGGUCAAUCUAGUGGCGAACGGGUGAGUAACACGUGGGUAACCUGCCCAUCAGAGGGGGAUAACAUCCGGAAACGAAUGCUAAAACCGCAUAGGUCUUCGAACCGCAUGGUUUGAAGAGGAAAAGAGGCGCAAGCUUCUGCUGAUGGAUGGACCCGCGGUGCAUUAGCUAGUUGGUGAGGUAACGGCUCACCAAGGCCGUGAUGCAUAGCCGACCUGAGAGGGUGAUCGGCCACAUUGGGACUGAGACACGGCCCAAACUCCUACGGGAGGCAGCAGUAGGGAAUCUUCCGCAAUGGACGCAAGUCUGACGGAGCAACGCCGCGUGAGUGAAGAAGGUUUUCGGAUCGUAAAACUCUGUUGUUAGAGAAGAACAAGUGCUAGAGUAACUGUUAGCGCCUUGACG